GGACAUCUGAUGGAAUACCAAAGGUUUACCGCUGGGGGAUGGGGAUGCGUCUGAUUAGGUAGUCGGCGGGGGUAACGGCCCACCGAGCCUUCGAUCAGUAGGGGUUCUGAGAGGAAGGUCCCCCACAUUGGAACUGAGACACGGUCCAAACUCCUACGGGAGGCAGCAGUGAGGAAUAUUGGUCAAUGGGCGAGAGCCUGAACCAGCCAAGUAGCGUGCAGGACGACGGCCCUAUGGGUUGUAAACUGCUUUUAUGCGGGGAUAAAGUUCACUACGUGUAGUGUUUUGUAGGUACCGCAUGAAUAAGGACCGGCUAAUUCCGUGCCAGCAGCCGCGGUAAUACGGAAGGUCCGGGCGUUAUCCGGAUUUAUUGGGUUUAAAGGGAGCGCAGGCCGGAGGUCAAGCGUGACGUGAAAUGUAGCCGCUCAACGGCUGAACUGCGUCGCGAACUGGCUUUCUUGAGUGAGUUCGAUGUGGGCGGAAUUCGUGGUGUAGCGGUGAAAUGCUUAGAUAUCACGAAGAACUCCGAUUGCGAAGGCAGCCCACAAGGCCUUUACUGACGCUAAAGCUCGAAGGUGCGGGUAUCGAACAGGAUUAGAUACCCUGGUAGUCCGCACGGUAAACGAUGGAUGCCCGCUGUUUGCGAUAUACUGUGAGCGGCCAAGAGAAAUCGUUAAGCAUCCCACCUGGGGAGUACGCCGGCAACGGUGAAACUCAAAGGAAUUGACGGGGGCCCGCACAAGCGGAGGAACAUGUGGUUUAAUUCGAUGAUACGCGAGGAACCUUACCCGGGCUUGAAAGUUAGUGAGUGAAUUGGAAACAGUUCAGCCCUUCGGGGCACGAAACUAGGUGCUGCAUGGUUGUCGUCAGCUCGUGCCGUGAGGUGUCGGCUUAAGUGCCAUAACGAGCGCAACCCUUGCUGUCAGUUGCCAUCAGGUAAUGCUGGGCACUCUGGCGGUACUGCCACCGUAAGGUGUGAGGAAGGUGGGGAUGACGUCAAAUCAGCACGGCCCUUACGUCCGGGGCUACACACGUGUUACAAUGGGUGGUACAGAGAGUCAGCCGCCGGCAACGUCGGUUCAAUCUUGAAAGCCAUCCUCAGUUCGGACUGGGGUCUGCAACCCGACCCCACGAAGCUGGAUUCGCUAGUAAUCGCGCAUCAGCCAUGGCGCGGUGAAUACGUUCCCGGGCCUUGCACUCACCGCCCGUCAAG
rnacentral:rRNA from 1 species